GGGUCAGUAGGUUGGUCGUGCCACCGGUACGUACUGGUCUCACUGAUUCCUCCUUCCUGAAGAACCGUAAUGCCAUUAAUUUGGUGUUGCGGGGAAACAGGACUGUUACUUUGAAAAAAUUAGAGUGCUUAAAGCAAGCUGACGCUUGAAUACAUUAGCAUGGAAUAAUGAAAUAGGACGAUCGAUCCUAUUUUGUUGGUUUCUAGGAUUGACGUA
rnacentral:rRNA from 1 species